CCUACGGGAGGCAGCAGUGAGGAAUAUUGGUCAAUGGGCGCGAGCCUGAACCAGCCAAGUCGCGUGAGGGAAGACGGUCCUAUGGAUUGUAAACCUCUUUUGUCGGGGAACAAUAGACGCCACGCGUGGCGUUCCGAGAGUACCCGAAGAAAAAGCAUCGGCUAACUCCGUGCCAGCAGCCGCGGUAAUACGGAGGAUGCGAGCGUUAUCCGGAUUUAUUGGGUUUAAAGGGUGCGCAGGCGGAAUAUCAAGUCAGCGGUAAAAUUGCGGGGCUCAACCUCUUCGAGCCGUUGAAACUGGUUGUCUUGAGUGAGUGAGAAGUAUGCGGAAUGCGUGAUGUAGCGGUGAAAUGCAUAGAUAUCACGCAGAACUCCGAUAGCGAAGGCAGCAUACCGGCGCUCAACUGACGCUGAUGCACGAAAGUGUGGGUAUCGAACAGGAUUAGAUACCCGGGUAGUC
rnacentral:rRNA from 1 species